rnacentral:lncRNA from 1 species
GCGCCUGGGUGUAGUUGUGGGGGAGGAAGUGGCUAGCUCAGGGCUUCAGGGGACAGACAGGGAGAGAUGACUGAGUUAGAUGAGACGAGGGGGCGGGCUGGGGGUGCGAGAAGGAAGCUUGGCAAGGAGACUAGGUCUAGGGGGACCACAGUGGGGCAGGCUGCAUGGAAAAUAUCCGCAGGGUCCCCCAGGCAGAACAGCCACGCUCCAGGCCAGGCUGUCCCUACUGCCUGGUGGAGGGGGAACUUGACCUCUGGGAGGGCGCCGCUCUUGCAUAGCUGAGCGAGCCCGGGUGCGCUGGUCUGUGUGGAAGGAGGAAGGCAGGGAGAGGUAGAAGGGGUGGAGGAGUCAGGAGGAAUAGGCCGCAGCAGCCCUGGAAAUGAUCAGGAAGGCAGGCAGUGGGUGCAGGGCUGCAGGAGGGCCGGGAGGGCUAAUCUUCAACUUGUCCAUGCCAGCAGCCCCUUUUUUUCCAGACCAAGGGCUGUGAACCCGCCUGGGGAUGAGGCCUGGUCUUGUGGAACUGAACUUAGCUCGACGGGGCUGACCGCUCUGGCCCAGGGUGGUAUGUAAUUUUCGCUCGGCCUGGGACGGGGCCCAGGCCGGGCCCAGCCUGGUGGAGCGUCCAGGUCUGGGUGCGAAGCCAGGCCCCUGGGCGGAGGUGAGGGGUGGUCUGAGGAGUGAUGUGGAGUUAAGGCGCCAUCCUCACCGGUGACUGGUGCGGCACCUAGCAUGUUUGACAGGCGGGGACUGCGAGGCACGCUGCUCGGGUGUUGGGGACAACAUUGACCAACGCUUUAUUUUCCAGGUGGCAGUGCUCCUUUUGGACUUUUCUCUAGGUUUGGCGCUAAACUCUUCUUGUGAGCUCACUCCACCCCUUCUUCCUCCCUUUAACUUAUCCAUUCACUUAAAACAUUACCUGGUCAUCUGGUAAGCCCGGGACAGUAAGCCGAGUGGCUGUUGGAGUCGGUAUUGUUGGUAAUGGUGGAGGAAGAGAGGCCUUCCCGCUGAGGCUGGGGUGGGGCGGAUCGGUGUUGCUUGCCUGCAGAGAGGGUGGGGAGUGAAUGUGCACCCUUGGGUGGGCCUGCAGCCAUCCAGCUGAAAGUUACAAAAAUGCUUCAUGGACCGUGGUUUGUUACUAUAGUGUUCCUCAUGGCGAGCAGAUGGAACCGGGAGACAUGGAGUCCCUGGCCAGUGUGAGUCCUAGCAUUGCAGGAGGGGAGACCCUGGAGGAGAGAGCCCGCCUCAAUUGAUGCCUGCAGAUUGAAUUUCCAGAGGCUUAGGAGGAGGAAGUUCUCCAAUGUUCUGUUUCCAGGCCUUGCUCAGGAAGCCCUGUAUUCAGGAGGCUACCAUUUAAAGUUUGCAGAUGAGCUUAUGGGGGGCAAUCUUAAAAAGUCCACAGCAGAUGCAUCCGGCUCGAGGGGCCAUCAGCUUUGAAUAAAUGCUUGUUCCAGAGCCCAUGAAUGCCAGCAGGCACCCCUCCUUUCCUGGGGUAAAGGUUUUCAGAUGCUGCAUCUUCUAAAUUGAGCCUCCGGUCAUACUAGUUUUGUGCUUGGAACCUUGCUUCAAGAAGAUCCCUAAGCUGUAGAACAUUUUAACGUUGAUGCCACAACGCAGAUUGAUGCCUUGUAGAUGGAGCUUGCAGAUGGAGCCCCGUGACCUCUCACCUACCCACCUGUUUGCCUGCCUUCUUGUGCGUUUCUCGGAGAAGUUCUUAGCCUGAUGAAAUAACUUGGGGCGUUGAAGAGCUGUUUAAUUUUAAAUGCCUUAGACUGGGGAUAUAUUAGAGGAAGCAGAUUGUCAAAUUAAGGGUGUCAUUGUGUUGUGCUAAACGCUGGGAGGGUACAAGUUGGUCAUUCCUAAAUCUGUGUGUGAGAAAUGGCAGGUCUAGUUUGGGCAUUGUGAUUGCAUUGCAGAUUACUAGGAGAAGGGAAUGGUGGGUACACCGGUAGUGCUCUUUUGUUCUUGCUUCGUUUUUUUAAACUUGAACUUUACUUCGUUAGAUUUCAUAAUACUUUCUUGGCAUUCUAGUAAGAGGACCCUGAGGUGGGAGUUGUGGGGGACGGGGAGAAGGGGACAGCUUGGCACCGGUCCCGUGGGCGUUGCAGUGUGGGGGAUGGGGGUAUGCAGCUUGGCACUGGUACUGGGAGGGAUGAGGGUGAAGAAGGGGAGAGGGUUGGUUAGAGAUACAGUGUGGGUGGUGGGGGUGCCAAGAAAAUACUAAUUAAUAAUAGUAAGUUGUUAGUGUUGGUUAAGUUGUUGCUUGGAAGUGAGAAGUUGCUUAGAAACUUUCCAAAGUGCUUAGAACUUUAAGUGCAAACAGACAAACUAACAAACAAAAAUUGUUUUGCUUUGCUACAAGGUGGGGAAGACUGAAGAAGUGUUAACUGAAAACAGGUGACACAGAGUCACCAGUUUUCCGAGAACCAAAGGGAGGGGUGUGUGAUGCCAUCUCACAGGCAGGGGAAAUGUCUUUACCAGCUUCCUCCUGGUGGCCAAGACAGCCUGUUUCAGAGGGUUGUUUUGUUUGGGGUGUGGGUGUUAUCAAGUGAAUUAGUCACUUGAAAGAUGGGCGUCAGACUUGCAUACGCAGCAGAUCAGCAUCCUUCGCUGCCCCUUAGCAACUUAGGUGGUUGAUUUGAAACUGUGAAGGUGUGAUUUUUUCAGGAGCUGGAAGUCUUAGAAAAGCCUUGUAAAUGCCUAUAUUGUGGGCUUUUAACGUAUUUAAGGGACCACUUAAGACGAGAUUAGAUGGGCUCUUCUGGAUUUGUUCCUCAUUUGUCACAGGUGUCUUGUGAUUGAAAAUCAUGAGCGAAGUGAAAUUGCAUUGAAUUUCAAGGGAAUUUAGUAUGUAAAUCGUGCCUUAGAAACACAUCUGUUGUCUUUUCUGUGUUUGGUCGAUAUUAAUAAUGGCAAAAUUUUUGCCUAUCUAGUAUCUUCAAAUUGUAGUCUUUGUAACAACCAAAUAACCUUUUGUGGUCACUGUAAAAUUAAUAUUUGGUAGACAGAAUCCAUGUACCUUUGCUAAGGUUAGAAUGAAUAAUUUAUUGUAUUUUUAAUUUGAAUGUUUGUGCUUUUUAAAUGAGCCAAGACUAGAGGGGAAACUAUCACCUAAAAUCAGUUUGGAAAACAAGACCUAAAAAGGGAAGGGGAUGGGGAUUGUGGGGAGAGAGUGGGCGAGGUGCCUUUACUACAUGUGUGAUCUGAAAACCCUGCUUGGUUCUGAGCUGCGUCUAUUGAAUUGGUAAAGUAAUACCAAUGGCUUUUUAUCAUUUCCUUCUUCCCUUUAAGUUUCACUUGAAAUUUUAAAAAUCAUGGUUAUUUUUAUCGUUGGGAUCUUUCUGUCUUCUGGGUUCCAUUUUUUAAAUGUUUAAAAAUAUGUUGACAUGGUAGUUCAGUUCUUAACCAAUGACUUGGGGAUGAUGCAAACAAUUACUGUCGUUGGGAUUUAGAGUGUAUUAGUCACGCAUGUAUGGGGAAGUAGUCUCGGGUAUGCUGUUGUGAAAUUGAAACUGUAAAAGUAGAUGGUUGAAAGUACUGGUAUGUUGCUCUGUAUGGUAAGAACUAAUUCUGUUACGUCAUGUACAUAAUUACUAAUCACUUUUCUUCCCCUUUACAGCACAAAUAAAGUUUGAGUUCUAAACUCAUUA